rnacentral:rRNA from 1 species
CCUACGGGUGGCAGCAGUGGGGAAUAUUGGACAAUGGGGGGAACCCUGAUCCAGCGACGCCGCGUGAGUGAAGAAGUAUUUCGGUUUGUAAAGCUCUAUUAGCAGGGAAGAAACAAAUGACGGUACCUGACUAAUAAGCCACGACUAACUACGUGCCAGCAGCCGCGGUAAUACGUAGGGGGCAAGCGUUAUCCGGAUUUACUGGGUGUAAAGGGAGCGUAGGCGGCAAUGCAAGUCUGAAGUGAAAGGGAGGGGCUCAACCCCCGGACUGCAUUUGAAACUGUAUUGCUUGAGUGCAGGAGAGGUAAGCGGAAUUCCUUGUGUAGCGGUGAAAUGCGUAGAUAUUAGGAGGAACACCAGUGGCGAAGGCGGAUUACUGGACUGUAACUGACGUUGAGGCUCGAAAGCGUGGGGAGCAAACAGGAUUAGAUACCCGAGUAGUA